GUGGGAGGGGGGGCGCGCGCAGGUGCAUCCGCUUCCCUCGGGGCGCCUCCCGCCGCCGUCCCGGGGCAGCGCCCGGGGAAAGGGUGAGGGGAGGGGAGAGGGAAGACCGGAGGAGGGCGCGGAGGCAACGCCGUCACCAGAGGAGGCGGUGGCGGGGAAGAGGAGGAGAAGAAGCCGGCGCGGAGCCUCGCCUCACCUCGCCUCGCCUCACAGCCCCUCCGCCGUCCCCGCCUCGCCGUCCACGGCCGCCGGAGUCACCGGCGGCCGCCCGUCCUCAUGAUGGCCUCGACCCCCUGCACACGCUUCACCGACGAGUACCAGCUCUUCGAGGAGCUCGGAAAAGGGGCGUUCUCCGUCGUGAGGAGGUGUAUGAAAAUCACCACAGGACAAGAGUACGCUGCCAAAAUUAUCAACACCAAAAAGCUUUCAGCUAGGGAUCACCAGAAACUGGAGAGAGAAGCUAGAAUCUGUCGUCUCCUGAAGCAUCCUAAUAUCGUGCGGCUCCAUGACAGCAUAUCAGAAGAAGGAUUCCAUUACUUAGUCUUUGACUUAGUCACUGGAGGUGAAUUGUUUGAAGAUAUAGUUGCAAGAGAGUAUUACAGUGAGGCAGAUGCCAGUCAUUGCAUUCAGCAGAUCCUGGAGGCCGUGCUGCACUGCCAUCAGAUGGGCGUGGUCCAUCGCGACCUCAAGCCUGAGAACUUACUUCUAGCUAGCAAAUCCAAGGGAGCAGCAGUCAAACUGGCAGACUUUGGAUUGGCUAUAGAAGUCCAGGGAGAACAACAGGCUUGGUUUGGCUUUGCUGGUACUCCAGGAUACCUUUCUCCAGAGGUGUUACGAAAAGAUCCUUAUGGAAAACCUGUGGAUAUGUGGGCAUGUGGAGUCAUUCUGUACAUCCUCCUGGUGGGAUACCCUCCCUUCUGGGAUGAAGACCAGCACAGGCUUUACCAGCAGAUUAAGGCUGGUGCUUAUGAUUUCCCCUCACCAGAAUGGGACACAGUGACUCCUGAAGCAAAAGACCUUAUCAAUAAAAUGCUCACCAUCAACCCAGCAAAACGUAUCACAGCAUCAGAAGCACUAAAGCAUCCAUGGAUCUGUCAACGUUCUACUGUUGCCUCUAUGAUGCACAGACAAGAGACUGUAGAUUGCUUGAAGAAAUUCAAUGCAAGAAGAAAACUAAAGGGGGCCAUUUUGACAACAAUGCUGGCUACCAGAAAUUUCUCAGCCAAGAGUUUACUGAAAAAGCCGGAUGGAGUUAAGAUAAACAACAAAACCAACGUGGUAACCAGCCCCAAGGAAAAUAUUCCUACCCCGGCGCUGGAGCCCCAAACUACAGUAAUCCACAACCCUGAUGGAAAUAAGGAAUCUACCGAGAGUUCCAACACGACCAUCGAAGAUGAGGAUGUGAAAGCUCGUAAGCAGGAGAUUAUCAAGGUGACCGAGCAGUUGAUUGAAGCCAUCAACAACGGGGACUUCGAAGCUUACACAAAAAUCUGUGAUCCUGGCCUUACAUCUUUUGAACCUGAAGCUUUGGGUAAUCUGGUAGAAGGGAUGGACUUCCACCGGUUUUACUUCGAAAAUGCUCUGUCCAAAAGCAACAAGCCGAUCCACACGAUCAUCCUGAACCCGCACGUGCACCUGGUGGGCGAGGACGCGGCGUGCAUCGCCUACAUCCGCCUGACACAGUACAUGGACGGCAGCGGCAUGCCCAAGACCAUGCAGUCCGAGGAGACGCGCGUCUGGCACCGGCGCGACGGCAAGUGGCAGAACGUGCACUUCCACCGCUCGGGCUCGCCCACCGUGCCCAUCAAGUAAGGAACUGCCCAGCACCAGCUCGCUCCUCCUAGGCACACCACGUAGGCCAAUAGCUGCUUUGGGCCUUAAAAACCGUCUUUUUUUGUGGUUGUUCAUUAUGUGGUAUACCCACUGCUGUGUGUAGUGUUGGUGACAAGAUUUCUAAAAUAAUGCGCUUUUUUGGUUGUUGUUUUCUACUCUGAUGCUCACCGAUCCAACUCGGUCCCUGAUCUGACAGCUUGAAGAUCAGGAAAGUGUUUUAAGCUAGAGAAAGCUUGACAGAAGUCACACUAAACAGGAUUAGAAAACCUAGAAUACCAUUGCUGGAAAACCUGGGAAAACAGAAAGCAGUAGGAUAUAUGGAGCUGUCAGAACCAGAAAGUUUCAAGUAAAAUGCAUCACUAUUAGGAAAAACUAAAGUUUGACUAAUAUUUAGAGUGAUUUCCAGCCACCUCUACUUUCCCAGGCCUAGGUAUGUUCACUGCAAGUUGGAUUUUAGCCAGUUUACACAUUUACCUUGUAAAUUGAGCCAACUCAGUCCCUCUCACGUUCUUAUCGCUUUCCCCACACUCUCUCUGCCUAACUGCUGAGUAUUCCUUGGUGGGCAGUUCUGACAUCCCCAUGGGACAGCCUCUCAUCUCUCCCACCAGCAUUUCUCUCUGCUGUUCAUCCAGGCCCUGCCACACCCUCAGAGUCAGGCAGGGACCAAGCUCUUUGAGCCACAUUGUCACCAGGGUUAAUGACAGCACACUCGGGGUUGCAAUAACAAAAUAAAGAGUCACAGCUUGCUCAGGAGGUUCUGCUCAGGCCAUUGGCUUCUCUGCUUCUUCAGCAGCCUCUGCAAAUGAGCCCAAACCUCAAUGACUGAUGGUUUCCCAAAUAGGCAGCCUGGUCCAGGCCUGGCUUUGCUCAGUUGUGAGUCCUCUGUGUAGGAUACAAUUCCAUUUGCGUCAGGUGUCUUAAUGUGGAGAGUGGCUGAAUUUCCUGGCAUGGAUGGUAAUGGCUUAGAUUUCAUCUUUUGAACCAUCAUGUCUCAUAUUUUACUCCUUGCAACAGUGUUCUCCUAUAUGAAAUAAUACUUGAUGAAGUAAGAAAUAAGGUAGAAUGAAGUGUUUAACUUCCAUGGUGAUGAUUUUGUAUUAUUUUCUUAUUUAGGAAAAAAGAAAUUUUAUUACUUAGCGAUAACUUUUUAUUUCAAAAUAUGAAGCCAAUGGGAACAGGAACCAAAUGUUUGUUUCUACAUUCCAGCUGCACUGCCAGUGUUUCAACAGAUAGUAUUUAAAGAGCAGUUACUCUUCCUUGAAAUGCAGUUUUAGGUAAAUCUUUGAGGUCUUCAAAGGAAUUUGUCAAGGGAUCUGAGCUGGGUGUGUGUAGAACCAGAAAGCCAAGUGAAGCAGGUUCACCUGGCACACUGCACCCUUGAACAGUCAGUUUUUACAGGACAGUGACAUGAAAUGGACUAGAGAAUCAUUUAAUCUUUUCCCCUGAUUUUUUUUCCCACCUUUGUCUUUUUUGGGAGGUACUAUAGGAUGUCCUUUGCAUCUGCUUGUGCUCCCUAAUAAAGAUCUGGAUUUCUGUGACUGCGGAGGGUGGAAGGAGAAGAAAAAUCACCAUGGAGUAAUUUUUUUGCAGUUGCAGAGUGGUUUCUGUAGUGGUGAAUCUUUUGAGCCAAUGUGUCAGACAGACGAGAUUGCAGGAUUGCAAGGGGUAUCCAAGCUUAAGGGGUCACAGAGGAGCCUUAGAGCCAGACUGAGGCUUAAGGAGAGAUUCCCUGAGUGAGCAGCAUAGCCCUACCUAUGUAGCAUUGGCAACAAUGCCACAUAAAUCCCAUAACCAGCUCUCAUCUUGAAUUCAGGGGAGGCUUUUGGACUUGCUCCUACCACUGUUCCAAAAUAGCGUUGGUCUGAUGGUUCGGAGCCUUGCUUUCCGUGUAAAAUUUGGUCAUCUUCAGGGUAUCCUUGGUUCUUCUAUGCCAUGGUUGUUCUCCUGCGCUGGUUAGGUGUGCAGACAUGAACUGGUUUGCAGGAAGGCUGAUCAGAUCAUUGCUUCUCCUUCUGUAGGGUAAACAGCCAGCCCUACCUCAGAUGGCUUUGUCUGAUAGGAUCUCCAUUUUCCUGUUACUUUAUGUCCUUCCUUUUUUUGUUGGAGGUUUGCCUUUCCAUUAGCUUGGCUUCUUCUGAAAUGCUCUGUCCAGUUGUAGUCAGGGCUUUAUUUAAUUCCCCAAUAUCUUCUCCUUGCUCUGUUCUUGCAUGAUUUUUGGACUUUUGUCAUCUGCAGCGCAUCUCAGACAGCCACCUAUUUACCCUCAACUCUCAUUUCCAGCCAGUGAGUAUACAGAAAUUUCUACAGAGCUUUGCACUUCCUAUUAUUCCAUGUAAUAUUUUUGGAUUACCCAGCCCUCAAAGUUAUUUGGUUCUCCUUGCACAAUGCUCCUGUUUUCUUUUCUUUUUAUAGUGCCUUCCACCUAAGUGUCAGUAUGCUAUAUGAGAUCAGUCCUUGUGCUCAGCACUAGGGAGUCUGCUCUAGGCUGAUAACGCCCCUUUCAGCACAAACAUUGCCAUUCUUUCUUUAUUCCCCAUCUUCUAAAGUCUGACUGGGAGAUUCCCAUGUAGCACCUAGCUAGACCCAUCUUCUUCUAGAACUCAUCCUGAACAUUUUUUACACUGUCUCAUAUUUCACCUUUGCUUUUCCCAGUCAGAGCAGCAAUAACUCCAUUCUGGAAAACUAAAGGAACUUAAUUAACUUAUUGUUCUAGUUCCUUUAUUUGAAAUUUAUACAGUCUUCAGCUACUUAUUUAAUUAUUACCAACACACAGUAGUUAAUAAUGGCAGUUCCACAAUAAAAAAGUAUUUUACACAUCGUGUCUGAAGAUGAAUUUCAAAUCUAAUAAAGUUGCAAAAACAGUUAUAGCUGUGAUCUGCUAGACACAGUAUCCCAGAUGGUGUUAAACCAGUUGCUGCAAGCACAGUAGCUUCCUUGUUUUCAGGAAGGAGUGUGCAUAAGUCUAAGGAUAGAACUGAGCUCUUUGGUAGCUAUAGGUACAGGGAAAGGUUACCUUGUGGCAGAGAACUCACUUGAAAAAGGAUAUGAGCACAAGUAUGUGUUUAGUUUAUAAAUAGAUUUUAUUCAUGGUUUUGCUGUGAGUGAGAUGGGGCAAACUUGGGUUUCUGUCUGGUCCAUGGUUUCUCUGUGAGUGAUAGGAGUGACGGUAGGAAGUUGUUCUGUGUACCCAUGUUCUUGGGAACCUGUGCUAAUGUGUUUCUGCAGAGCUGUCUGCUUCUCCUCAGAGACUGCACCUGCCCAAUGUGGGCAGUCAAAGGGCUGCUGGGCUAAAAGUGACUCCCUAACCUAACUUCAGCCUCCGUGAGGCUUAUGUUCCCUCCCUAAUCACUGCUCACACCUUCGUGUACUUUGAUAAGCGCAGUGCCAGAGAGCAGGAAUGCAGAGUAAAGAGUUUGUUCUGUGUUUGUGCAGUGCCUAGCGCAGAGGGAUCCCAGCACGGCUCCAGCCCCUAGAUGCUACGCUAAAAAUAUCAGCGGUGCCGCUCUUGCAUUUUCUGUACCCAACGCACCUGGUUGAUUACCAUCUUGGCCAUCCCGUUCUCUUCAUGCAUGUUUCUGAGUGCAUGAAGUUGUGAAGGUUCUUCAUGUAACACAUUUGUGAUGCACCACGUUGCUGUAUAUUCCAUCUGUACACUGUUAACAUUUCAAUGAAGGUGAUGUUCCAUGCAAAUAGAGAAUAACAAGGCGUAAAAGACAAAAAAGAGAUAUUGGAUGGACAGCAGUAGACACACAAUACAUUUGUCACUUGCUCCAUUUAUGCCAAGACAUAAAUUUUGACAGACAACUUUAAAAUCUAAGGUGUUUAUUAAAAAAAAAGGAAAAAAAAAAAGAAAAAGUAUAUUUUACCGUCUUUUUUUAAGAACUGGUUUUUGACUCCUCCUUUUCUCCUGAGUCCCAGGAUUUUGCUUUGGUUCUGGCAGGAAUGGUUAGGAUUUCCGCUGGCAGCUCCAUUACUGUAAAACAGAUUUUUAUCCUAGAUGGACAAAAUCACUGAUAAAUGGGGAAGUGUUAAUAUCUUGGCUUUGGACCAGCUGCAGCCUUUAUAGUUUAUUAGUCUUUGUAAACUGGAAAAAUCUCUUCAUUUGCUGGCCUGGCCACUCCAGAAUUAACUGUCAGUGUUCUGGUGAGUCAGCAACUUCUGUUUUUCUUUUGAGUCCUUUUCGCUUUCUUAUUUUGCUUAACUGAAUGGUUCUGUCGGAUAAUUAAGCAAAAUUAAAAAUUGUAAGGAACUAAGUGAUAAUUGAGAGACAGUUUUUGAGGAUUAAAAUGGAAGGAAAGAGAAAGAUUUUUAUCGCUUUUAGGAUGUACUGUAAAUUUUUUAAGGAGGCUUUAAAAAAUAUAAUAUGUGGGUUAAUGUAUAGACCAGUUGUGUGGAUAAUAUACUCAAGAAAUAUUAGGCCUUAAAGCUAAGUAUGAAGAGUUUACUUACAUUACACUGCUGCUGUUGCUUCUCUGGAAAUGAAUUACGGAGACAUGGGUUUUCCGUGGAGCCCUCACACUGUACCGCAGGUUUGUGUCCCCCCUCUUGCCCUCAGUCCGCUCGUGGUUUCUCCAGCCCCCCUGGCAGCGCUCCGUGUGGAGGCCGGCGAUCCCACCAGGCUUGUCCCGGCUCCAGGCCGAGGGUGGAACGCCGUGCUGGCAGCACAGAAUGCAAACUUUGCAACAGGGACUGGUUCUCCUUCCCUCACGUUGCUGUAAAAACACACCCUGGCAAGAAUUCCAGUUUCUUCCCUUCCACUGUUGCAGGAAAGGCCAGGCUGGGCUGCUCCUCUUCUCCCCGUGGUUCUGCUGGCAGCAGACUCCUGCUCCCGCAGCGCUGUACAGUGCAUGGUGUCUGAGUCAGUGUCCUUUUUAGCCGUCCAAAAUUUACAACUCGGCAGCCAGAACUUUUUAAAAUGGGAAAGCUUCCUAAUUUGUAUCAUUUCACCUUUCUGUGUUGAUUACUAAUCAGAAGCAGUUCUUAAACAUGUUGAUGUUGUUACUAGUGGAUGUACGGUAGAUGGACUUAAGCUUCUCUGAUAAUUACUACAUGAUUUUAAACAAUAUAUAUUUAAAGUAAGCAUCUACAAUAAAUGUGUUGAGCCAUAUUAACCUGCCAAUGGGAUCUGUGAAAAAAGUAAUGGCCUCAUUUUUUUCUCAUUAAUUUCUUUUUUUUUCUUUUUCUUCUUUUUUUUUUUUUUUUUUGUGAAGCGGCUAUAAGUGGCAUAACUGUAUUUAAAAUUAACCAAUUAGGUGUAGGGUGUUUUUUUUAUACUUCUAACAUAGCAUGUGGUGUUGAUGUAUUACUGUAGACCAAGUUUGUCUUCCACACCAAGACGUGAGGAACUUGUGAUUUGUUCUCUCCACCACAACUGAAUUAUACACUUCUGUCAUUUUGGAACACUGCAGUUUACCAUGGGACACAGUGUACAUAUUUCUUGCCAUAAUGGUAAAUGAUUGAUAUAUUUAAGAAUUAAUAAAUUUGUGAUUUCUGCUGA